GACGAACGCUGGCGGCGUGCUUAACACAUGCAAGUCGAACGGAAAGGCCUUUUCCGUGGUACUCUAGUGUCGCACGGGUGCGUAACACGUGGGCGUUCUGCCCUGCACUCUGGGAUUAGCCUGGGUAACUGGGUCUAAUACUGGUUCGGACCGCACUUUUGUGUGUGUGGUUGCAAGUUUUUUCGGUGUAGUAUGAGCCCGCUGCCUAUCAGCUUGUUCGUGGGGUGAUGGCUUACCAAGUCGGCGGCGGGCAGCCGGACUGAGGGGUUGCUCGGCGACAUAGGGACUGAGGUGCGGCCCAGACUGCUACGGGAGGCAGCAGUGGGGAAUAUUGCACGAUGGGCGCAAGGCGGAUGCAGCGGCGCCGCGUGGGGGAUGACGGCCUUCGGGUUGAAGACUACUUUCGCCAGGGACGAAGCGUUUUGUGACGGUACCUGGAGAGGAAGCACCGGCUAACUACGUG
rnacentral:rRNA from 1 species